UGGAAAUAAGAGGUGUAUUUAUCAAGAUAUAAAAUGGCUCAGACUGUUUUUGACUGGUUACCUGGGGUAGCCAUUUUUACAAUACAUUUGUAUUGAGAUUCAGGCAUUUUUACACUAAACUGAUUCUUCUUAAUGUAGGAAACAUGCUUGGAAUGGAGGAUUUGCUGACUGAAAACUGGAGUAAUUUAUGGCAACUGUCAAAGUUGCAGGGAGAAAUUGCAAUUACACCUGAUUAUCCUCAGCAUUCAAAGAUAAUCUGUCAUAUGCCCUUCCAACAUCCUUCAGACACAAAGCAUAAAAUACUUUGUAACAGUGAUGAGAUGAACACUUCAAAACGGGUGCUUAAAGUACCCAGAUAAAAGAGUAAUGGCCACUAAUAUUCAGAAACAGAACAGGGAAUGGGCUGGGUUUUGGGGUAAGAGAACCCCUUUCAGAGCACUGCAGCAGCUACUAAAGAGAAAAAUACUGUUACAGCUGAACCCAUGACAAGACAAAAUAAAAAAAAUGGAAAUCCUGAGGUCACUUCCACACCAGAACCAUUAAAUCUCACAGAAAUCUAUCAGAAGCUAAUUUUUGAGACCAGUUACUGGACAUGCUACUUAAGAACAUACUGAAUUUCACUACAAUUUAAAAUGUGAGGUAAAACAUUACAUUUACACCUGUUUACCCUGGAUGGAAGCAUACCCUACGACUGGAUUUGAGUAUUUCAUAGUGUUAGAUAUUAAUGACUACUAAUACUCAGCUAGAAACACUGGAGUAUGAGGCCUUUAGUGCAGCAUGUUCCCAGUUUUACAUCUAAAAAUGUACAGUAAUAGUAAGUAUUUUUCAUUAGUAGAAAAAACCCUAUUUCCUCAUUACGCAGAGGAAGGCAGUAGAAAAGACCAGGCUUUGAUUUAUCAUUACACUGAAAGCAAAUACAAGGGAGAUGUGCAAGAAGAGAGGAAUAUUAUGCAACAUGUACUUAGGUAACUGGUGUCAAAAUCCCAUUAUGUGAAUGCUGUAGUGUGCAUA